AGUGAACGCUGGCGGUAGGCCUAACACAUGCAAGUCGAACGGAAGAACAGUAAGAGCUUGCCUUUACGGGUGGCGAGUGGCGGACGGGUGAGGAAUACAUCGGAAUCUACUUUUUCGUGGGGGAUAACGUAGGGAAACUUACGCUAAUACCGAAUACGACCUACGGGUGAAAGCAGGGGAUCUUCGGACCUUGCGCGAUUGAAGGAGCCGAUGUCGGAUUAGCUAGUUGGCGGGGUAAAGGCCCACCAAGGCGACGAUCCGUAGCUGGUCUGAGAGGAUGAUCAGCCACACUGGAACUGAGACACGGUCCAGACUCCUACGGGAGGCAGCAGUGGGGAAUAUUGGACAAUGGGCGCAAGCCUGAUCCAGCCAUACCGCGUGGGUGAAGAAGGCCUUCGGGUUGUAAAGCCCUUUUGUUGGGAAAGAAAAGCAGCAGGUUAAUACCCCGCUGUUCUGACGGUACCCAAAGAAUAAGCACCGGCUAACUUCGUG
rnacentral:rRNA from 1 species